GUCUACGGCCAUGCCACCCCGAACAAGCCCGAUCCCAUCUGAUCUCAGAAGCUCAGCAGGGUCGGGCCUAGUUAGUACUUGGAUGGGAGACCACCUAUGAAGACUAGGUGCUGUAGGCG
rnacentral:rRNA from 1 species